UUAAACUAUAAGACCUAAAUACAUUGACAUCGCUUGAUCUUGUCUGAUAUUGGAAGCUAAGCACUAUCGGCCCUGGCUAGUUCUUGGAUGGGAGACUGCCAAUGACUACCAGGUGUUGUUGGCU
rnacentral:rRNA from 11 species